rnacentral:rRNA from 1 species
CCCUUAGAUGUCCGGGGCUGCACGCGCGCUACACUGAAGGAAUCAGCGUGCUAGAAAACCUUGUUUGACAUGGCUAGGUAACCCGUUGAAAAUCUUUCGUGAUUGGGAUCGGGACUUGCAAAUGUGUCCCUUGAACGAGGAAUUCCCAGUAAGAGCGGGUCAUAAGCUCGCGCUGAUUACGUCCCUGCCCUUUGUACACACCGCCCGUCGCUGCCCGGAACUGAGCCGUUUCGAGAAGACUGGGGACUGCGAACUUUGGGCUGGAAAACAGCUUUUUGUUUGUGGAAACCACUUUAAUCGCAGCGGCUUGAACCGGGCAAAAGUCGUAACA